rnacentral:rRNA from 1 species
GAUGAAGGACGUGCUAAUCUGCGAGAAGUGCCGGUAAGGUGUUAUGAAACGUUAUAACCGGCGAUUUCCGAAUGGGGAAACCCAGUGUGACUCGUAACACUAUCAUUAACUGAAUCCAUAGGUUAAUGAGGCGAACCGGGGGAACUGAAACAUCUAAGUACCCCGAGGAAAAGAAAUCAACCGAGAUUCCCCCAGUAGCGGCGAGCGAACGGGGAGGAGCCCAGAGCCUGAAUCAGCAUGUGUGUUAGUGGAAGCGUCUGGAAAGGCGCGCGAUACAGGGUGACAGCCCCGUACACAAAAGCGCAUGUGCUGUGAGCUCGAUGAGUAGGGCGGGACACGUGGUAUCCUGUCUGAAUAUGGGGGGACCAUCCUCCAAGGCUAAAUACUCCUGACUGACCGAUAGUGAACCAGUACCGUGAGGGAAAGGCGAAAAGAACCCCGGCGAGGGGAGUGAAAAAGAACCUGAAACCGUGUACGUACAAGCAGUGGGAGCACGCUUUGGGGUGUGACUGCGCACCUUUUGUAUAAUGGGUCAGCGACUUAUA